rnacentral:rRNA from 1 species
GCGUGUCGUCAGCUCGUGCGUGAGAUGUUGGGUUAAGUCCCGUAACGAGCGCAACCCUUGUCCUUAGUUACCAGCACGUUAUGGUGGGCACUCUAAGGAGACUGCCGGUGACAAACCGGAGGAAGGUGGGGAUGACGUCAAGUCAUCAUGGCCCUUACGGCCUGGGCUACACACGUGCUACAAUGGUCGGUACAAAGGGUUGCCAAGCCGCGAGGUGGAGCUAAUCCCAUAAAACCGAUCGUAGUCCGGAUCGCAGUCUGCAACUCGACUGCGUGAAGUCGGAAUCGCUAGUAAUCGUGAAUCAGAAUGUCACGGUGAAUACGUUCCCGGGCCUU